ACACAAACACAAAAGUCUCCAACCAACAGGAACCAACAAGGACGAGGGCCACGAGGCCACGAGGGCAGAACGAGGAGAAAGCCUGAAGUGGGUGACAGAAGAACGAGGUGAGCGAAGUGGUUGGGAAGAGCUUCCAGACUGAUCGAGGGUUUAGGGUUUCUUCUCCCUCCCUUCCUCCACUCCACCCCUCGGCCCUCGCCCCCGUCCCUGGCCCCGUCGCCGCUGCCGACGCUGCCAUGGCUGGGGUGGAGGAUGAGGACGAGUUCAAGGACGCCUCGGUGGCCGCCGAUCCGCCACCUUGCUCGCCGAAGCCCGCCUCCAAGUCCAUGACCGCUACCGGCAGCGGCGGUGGCCUCGGGAGGAGGCUGUUCGCUUCCAUUCCUCUCCCCGCCACCCUCUCCGCCGCCAUCGGCCGCUUCUCCGGCCCCAACCCGCUGGCUACCAAUGUGGGCCUCGGGCUCCUACUCGACGCGGGGCCCGCUGCCUCCUCUGACGGCCCCCUUGCCUCCGACGCGGCCUCGGGCGGCAGCAGCCUCCACCUGCCCUCGUUGCCUGCUCUCCAGCGGCAGCACGGGGAUGAUCAGGUUGCUGGGCGUGGCGCGGGUGAGUGGGAGGAGGAGCUAGGGUUGUUACCGGCCGAGGAAGGGUGGGAUACAGCUGAAGACAGUCGGGAGAAGGAGGGUCUUGCUGUUGAUGGGCGCUCUGCGAACAGAAAUUGUUUCCCGACGCGUGGUCAGGAGGAGGGGGCACAGAGACAGAGACCUGGUGAUGAGUUGGGGGCAGCCGUGGCCCAAGACCAGGAGGUGGUGGUGAAGCAACAAGGGGCCACUGAGGAUUGUGCUGCUGUGGUGGAAGAUGAGAGUAACUACUCUGCGGUAGAGCAAUGUGCUGGUGAUGAAACAAGGGCAGUCAAGGCUAGUAAUGCUGUGGAAAUAAAUAAGAGGGUGAUCGAGCAAGAAUGUGCUGGUGGCAUACUGGAUGAAGCCAAAUAUGGUGUUUCUUUAGGAUUGCAAGAGGAGAAUGCCAUGGUGGAAGAGCAAGGUGUGGAUGUCAUUUCUGUACAAAAUCAACGUGUGGCGAUGGAGCAAUGCGCUGGUGAUCAGUUGACAACAACCACAGGCGGUAGUGCUGUACAAGAGGUGGUGGUGGAGCAAGAAGGGGACACUGAGUGUUACACUGCUGUGGAAGCUGUAGAACAAUGCACCAAUCAUGGAUCAAGAGCAGACAAGGAUGGCAAUGUUGUGGAAGAGAAGGAGAAGGCGGUGGAGCAAGAAGUUUCUGUUGGUGUACGUGAUGCAGCUAAGGAUUGUGUUACUGUGGAACCACAAGAGGAGAAUGUGGUGGUGGUGGAGCAUGGUGAGGAUGGCAUUUCUGUGCAAGAUCAACAUAAGGCGGUGGAGCAAUGUACUAGUGGUCAACUUAGAACAACCAUGGAUGAUACUGCUGCAGAAGGUCAAAGGGUGGUGGAGCAGGGAGGUGCCAUUUUCUAUUUGGAUGCAACAGCAUAUGAUAUUGCUGUUGAAGAUCAAGAGAAGGAAAUGAAGGAAUCUGAUGGUGACGAAUCAAGAUCAACCAGGGAUAGAAAUCCUGCGGAAGUCAAAGAUAAGGAGGUGAACCAAGAAGAUGUCGUAGACAGACACAAUGUGAUCAAGGAUGGAAGUGGUGUGGAGUUACUAGAGAAUAACAUAGUGGCUAUAGAGCAAGGUGAGGAUGGCAUCUCUCUAUCAGAUGAGGAUAAUAUGGUGGAACUAUAUACAAGUGAUCAACUGAGAGCAACCCUGGAUGAUCAUGCUGCAGCAAAUCGAAAGGUGGUGGAGCAAGAAGGUGACAUUGUUGAAAGGGUUGUGACCACAGAUGGUAUUUCUAUUGAAGACUAUGAGAAGGAAGUAGAGCAAUCUACUGGUGACGAAUCAAGGUCAACCAAGGGUGUGAACUUUGUGGAAGAUAACGAGAAUGUGGAUCCAGAAGAUGUGAUCAACUUACAAGGUGUAAUCAAUGAUGACAGUUGUGUGGAGGCACAAGAGGAGGGCAUGGUGGUUGCGGAGCAAGGUGGCGAUGCCAUGCAUGCAGGAGAUGAGGGUAAUGUGGUGGAGCAAUGCACCAAUGAUCAGCUGAGAGCAAACAUGGAGGAUAAUGCUGCAGAAUUCCAAGAGUUGGUGGACCAAGAAGGUGCCAUUUUUGAAAAGUGUGUGACCGCUGGUGGCACUACUGUUGAAGAUCAAGACAAGGAAAUGGAGCAAUCUGCAGGUGACGAAUCAAGAGAAACCGAGGCUGAGAAUGCUGUGGAAUAUAACAAGAAGGUGGAUCAAGAAGAUACCAUUAACAGACAAGGUACAGCUAAGGAAGACAGUGGUGUGGAGCCACAAGAGGAGAACGUUGUGGAUCCAGAUCAAGGUGUGGAUGACUUUUCUGUACUAGAUGAGGGUAAUGUGGUGGCACAGUGCACCAGUGAUCAAUUGAGAACAACCAUGGAAGAUAAUGCUGCAGAGAUGCAAGAGGUGGUGGAGCAAGAAGGUGCCAUUUUUGAAAAGGGUGUGACCUCAGAUGGCAUUACUGUUGAAGAUCAAGACAAGGAAAUGGAACAAUCUGCAGGCGAUGAAUCAAGAGUGACCAAGGGUGAGAAUGCUGUGAAAGAUAAAAAGGUGUAUCAAGAAGAUGCCAUUGACAAACAAGGUGCAGCUGAGGAUGGCAGCGGUGUGAAGUCACAAGAGGACAACAUGGUGGUUCCAGGUCAAUGUACAGAUGGCCUUCCUGUACUAGAUGAGGGUAAUGUGGUGCCACAGUACACAAGUGAUCAACUGAGAACAACCACAGAUAACAAUGCUGCAGUUGAUCCAGAGUUGGUGGAGCAAGAAGGUGUUGAUAGCAUAGUGGGUGCAGCCAAGGUUGGUAUUGCUGUGGAAGAAUCGCGAGAGGACAUCAUGGUGGAAAAGCAAGUUGAAGGUGUUCUUUUACAAGAUCAAGAUGAGGCAGUGGAGCAAUGCACCAGUGAUCAACUGAGGACAAUCACAGAUGGUAAUGAUGUGGAAGAUCAAGAGGUGCACAGAGAGAAGGUUGGUCUCUCUGAAGGGUACCCACAGAAGCCUGGUAAACUGAACUGUCGUUUUUACAUGUCAACAGGGAGGUGCUCAUAUGGGUCAUCGUGCCACUUCAAUCAUCCACGGCUCAAAGCAAAACUAGAAGUUUCAAGUUUCCCUUCCGAACAAAGAAAUCAUGAAGCUGAAUUUCUGGAACUGAACCGUGUUGGCCUCCCCAUUAGAGAAGGAGCAAGGAAGUGUAUCUAUUACAUGCGUAAUGGUACAUGCAGAUAUGGAAAGAAAUGUUGUUUUAACCAUCCAGAGCAAGUUCUUGAUGUUCAACGCCACACUGCAACAGGAUGGGAUGAUACUAACUUGCAAUCUUCACCACACUCAAAGAAGUCACCUGAACAUAAAACUAUGGAUGACAUAUCGUCUGGAUCUGAGGUUCUUCCUCCAAACAUACUUCGGAUGCUUUUACCUCCCCAGAAUGUGCCCCCUAGUACAAAAGAAAAGGAAAUCAGGAUAAAAAAGGAUCCUGAUUGGGCUUCAGCUUCAGAUGAUUCUGAUGGCUGCUGCUCGGCCGAUAGUUCAGAUGGGCCUUUGUGCAAGCAGGAACAUGAGGACUAUCCUGAGAGGCCUGAAUGCCCUUUCCUUCUUAGAUUUGGUAAUUGUAAGUUUGCAUCAUCAUGCCAAUAUUACCACCCAAAAGACAAAUUUCCAAGUACCUACCAUCCAGAAGACAAAUUCCAAAGUCGAUACCAUCAAAAAGAAAAAUCAAGUCGACACCAUCCAAAAAAAGAGCCAGCACUAUCAGGAGAACUGAUGGUUUAUCCUGACAGACCUAGUGAACCUGACUGCCCCUUCUAUGUGAAAACUGGGUCCUGUAAAUUUGGGGCAAACUGUAAGUUUCAUCACCCGAAGGAUAUAACUCCAAACAUGCAGGGUCCAGCAAGUCCAAAAAGGUCGGUCGCUGCAAAAGAGCACCACGCAGCAGCUAGAGCGACAUUACAAGACCAGAUGUACCAGCAACAAAAAUUCCCUGAGCGGCCUGGCCAACCAGAUUGCCGGUACUACAUGCAAUUUGGGAAAUGUAAAUUUCAAUCAGCUUGUAUAUUCAAUCAUUCAAAAGACAUACUUUCAAGUGGGUGGCAUCCAGCAGAAUGCCCAUUCUACAUGAAAACUAGGACAUGCCAAUUUGGAUCAGCUUGUGAGUUUUAUCACCCAAAAGAUCGGUGCUCAGGCAGAGGGGGAGUGAUUGAUGGUACUGACUAUGGACAUGAUUUUGCCACGAAGUCACGGAAUGUUCUGCAGGAACUGGCAAUAUAUCCUGAAAGGCCUGAUGAACUUGAGUGUUCUCACUACAUGAAGCAUGGCUACUGUAAAUAUAAGAUGAACUGCAAAUUUCAUCAUCCAAGAGAUCGUCUUCCAAAGAAAUAGUCUACAGUGCAAAACAAUAUUUUAGGUGGCCAUAUGAGUGAACGGUUGGACACAAUCUUAAGGAAAAAGAAGAAAAAGGCAUCUAGCACUCAGUUUAUUACUCUCUUAGUGUCCUUUUCUUGGUAUAGGUACUGCAUUUCCUGUUUACCAGCUGACGUUUGCACAUCGCACAAGCUGCUGCAACUGAUCACUGUUCUGUGUUGCAAUUUGAAUCACCUGAACUCCUGAAGGACCAUUUGCUACAACCACUGUUGUAACUGGCUGUCGUUGAUGAGUGGAGCAAGUACUGAUGAUGGGACAGAAAUGCAGGAAGGAAGCCAUAGUCUUCCUUUUUUGAAGAGCUCGAUUCUACUCAUGUCUAUGUCGAAUUUCUGCCCUAGUGUCGUUAGAGUUCUCGUACCAGAUGCGAACUGCCUGGUGGCUUCCCAACUCCCGUUCAUUCAUAUACUACCAAACAUUGCUGUGAUCUAGAUCUAGCCCGAUGCGGUGCUAACCUGAGAUUGUGGGUUACUGUAGCUCAGUAUGCAGCUCAGGUACCUGCACUUGCUCAAGAUUGCGAUAAUGAUCAGAUUAAAAUAGCAGGCCACGCAUAUUCUGCAACUUGCGACUUUUACAUCGUUGUUGAGUCUCC